rnacentral:misc_RNA from 1 species
CCGAGUUUACAACUCCCAAACCCAAUGUGAACGUUACCAAACUGCUGCCUCGGCGGGAUCUCUGCCCCGGGUGCGUCGCAGCCCCGGACCAAGGCGCCCGCCGGAGGACCAACCAAAACUCUUAUUGUAUACCCCCUCGCGGGUUUUUUUAUAAUCUGAGCCUUCUCGGCGCCUCUCGUAGGCGUUUCGAAAAUGAAUCA